rnacentral:rRNA from 1 species
GGCAGCAGCUAAGAAUAUUCCGCAAUGGGGGAAACCCUGACGGAGCGACGCCGCGUGGAUGAUGAAGGCCGGAAGGUUGUAAAAUCCUUUUAGAUAUGAGGAAUAAGCAGGGUGAGAGAAACGCCCUGUGGUGACUGUAGUAUCAGAAUAAGGGGCGGCUAAUUACGUGCCAGCAGCCGCGGUAACACGUAAGCCCCGAGCGUUGUUCGGAAUUAUUGGGCGUAAAGGGCAUGUAGGCGGCUUUGCAAGUCUGGUGUGAAAGGCAGGAGCUUAACUCCUGGACUGCGCUGGAAACUGCAUGGCUUGAGUCACUGAGGGGCAUCCGGAAUUCCUGGUGUAGGGGUGAAAUCUGUAGAUAUCAGGAAGAACACCGAUGGCGAAGGCAGGGUGCCAGCGGAUGACUGACGCUGAGGUGCGAAGGUGCGGGGAGCAAACAGGAUUAGAUACCCUGGUAGUCCGCACAGUCAACGAUGUACACUGGGUGUCCGUUCAUGAGAAUGGGUGCCGAAGCAAACGCGAUAAGUGUACCGCCUGGGGAGUAUGCCCGCAAGGGUGAAACUCAAAGGAAUUGACGG